rnacentral:rRNA from 1 species
GACGAACGCUGGCGGCGUGCCCAAUACAUGCAAGUUGAGCGCUGAAGGUUGGUACUUGUACCAACUGGAUGAGCAGCGAACGGGUGAGUAACGCGUGGGGAAUCUGCCUUUGAGCGGGGGACAACAUUUGGAAACGAAUGCUGAUACCGCAUAAAAACUUUAAACACAAGUUUUAAGUUUGAAAGAUGCAAUUGCAUCACUCAAAGAUGAUCCCGCGUUGUAUUAGCUAGUUGGUGAGGUAAAGGCUCACCAAGGCGAUGAUACAUAGCCGACCUGAGAGGGUGAUCGGCCACAUUGGGACUGAGACACGGCCCAAACUCCUACGGGAGGCAGCAGUAGGGAAUCUUCGGCAAUGGACGAAAGUCUGACCGAGCAACGCCGCGUGAGUGAAGAAGGUUGUCGGAUCGUAAAACUCUGUUGGUAGAGAAGAACGUUGGUGAGAGUGGAAAGCUCAUCAAGUGACGGUAACUACCCAGAAAGGGACGGCUAACUACGUG